AGGAUGGUGCCCACAUGAUGCCUGUGACAAGCUGCCCGUGGUCUUGGGGAUGGUUUCUGUCGACUAAAUUUCCGUACAUAAUCACGCCUGGGAUGAGUGGACAGGACUCCCGAGAAUGGCCCCACAAGCUGUUCAGAAGGUAGUGAAAGAACACAGGACACUCAGGAAGCCAUUCAGUUUUCCAAGACAGUUGGGAAUCUUCUCCAAGAUGAGUAUUUUACCAAGUAAAGAGAGUAACAAGGGAGUCAGAUAUGCAAAAACAUUAAGACCACAUACACGCCAAA
rnacentral:lncRNA from 1 species